AUUGGACGCUGGCGGCAGGCCUAACACAUGCAAGUCGAACGGUAGCACAGAGAGCUUGCUCUCGGGUGACGAGUGGCGGACGGGUGAGUAAUGUCUGGGAAACUGCCCGAUGGAGGGGGAUAACUACUGGAAACGGUAGCUAAUACCGCAUAACGUCGCAAGACCAAAGUGGGGGACCUUCGGGCCUCACACCAUCGGAUGUGCCCAGAUGGGAUUAGCUAGUAGGUGGGGUAAUGGCUCACCUAGGCGACGAUCCCUAGCUGGUCUGAGAGGAUGACCAGCCAGACUGGAAGUGAGACACGGUCCAGACUCCUACGGGAGGCAGCAGUGGGGAAGAUUGCACAAUGGGCGCAAGCCUGAUGCAGCCAUGCCGCGUGUAUGAAGAAGGCCUUCUGGUUGUAGAGUACUUGCAGCGGGGAGGAAGGCGGUGAAGUUAAUAGCUUCACCGAUUGACGUUACCCGCAGAAGAAGCACCGACUAACUCCGUGCCAGCCGCCGCGGUAA
rnacentral:rRNA from 1 species